GGAUCCAGACUUUGAUUAUGGCUCACGAUGAACGCUGGCGGCGCAUUUAAGACAUGCAAGUCGAACGAAAAUUUACGCUUAAAGAGUUGAUUAGUUUACUAAGAGAUGAUUUAUUGUAAAUUUUAGUGGCGGACUGGUGAGUAAUACAUAGGUAAUCUGCCUUCUAGAGGGGAAUAACUAGGAGAAAUCCUAGCUAAUACCGCGUAAGACCACACUUAGGCAUCUAAGAGAGGUCAAAGGAGUAAUCCGCUAAAAGAUGAGCCUGUGGCUGAUUAGUUAGUUGGUGGGGUAAGAGCCUACCAAGACGAUGAUCAGUAGCCGAGCUGAGAGGCUGGCCGGCCACAUUGGGACUGAGAUACGGCCCAGACUCCUACGGGAGGCAGCAGUUGGGAAUAUUGGACAAUGGAGGAAACUCUGAUCCAGUGACGCCGCGUGAAGGAAGAAGGUCUUCGGAUUGUAAACUUAUUUUAUCAGGGAAGAAGAAAGUGACAGUACCUGAAGAAAAAGGACCGGCAAACUACGUGCCAGCAGCCGCGGUAAUACGUAGGGUCCAAGCGUUAUCCGGAUUUACUGGGUGUAAAGGGCGAGUAGACGGCGCUGUAAGUCAGCUGUGAAAACUUAGGGCUCAACCUUAAGCCUGCAGCUGAAACUGUAGUGCUAGAGUGCAGGAGAGGUAAGCGGAAUUCCUAGUGUAGCGGUGAAAUGCGUAGAUAUUAGGAGGAACACCAGUGGCGAAGGCGGCUUACUGGACUGUAACUGACGUUGAGGCGCGAAAGUGUGGGGAGCAAACAGGAUUAGAUACCCUGGUAGUCCACACCGUAAACGAUGGAUACUAGGUGUAGGCGAGAUAUCGUCUGUGCCGGCGCAAACGCAAUAAGUAUCCCACCUGGGGAGUACGGCCGCAAGGU
rnacentral:rRNA from 1 species